CGUCAUAGAGACGCGCGGAAGGAACAUGCUGGAUGGCUUCAUCUCAUACAACACUAUCUCAUAACUCCCUGCAAGGAGAAUAGCUGAAAAUCAGAUAGAUGAUCCCAAGAUUGCAUUUGCAUGUCUCCGUCCAUCCUGUGUCCUCUUGACCAAAGAACCUACAGCCGCUAAUGUAGAAACUCUGAGCGUCCACCUCCACAGCGUGAGUGAUGGAACUCUCCAACAGCUCCAGGGCUAUGUCCUCUUUCCUCUCAGAUUUGUUCUCAAAAGUCCAGGCUCCAAGCGCGAGGCUCUCAUCCAGGCAGUCAUGGAAGCCAUGGCUUACGUCUUGGAGAACACUUGCGUUCAGAGUUGAAAGUCACUGCGAGAUCUUUUCUCCGAGCUGUGCCUUUGUCUUUGUUUCCCGAAAGACCCGGGAAAGCCUGCCGCAACCUCAGAGGAAGUCAAACUGGCUGUCCUGAAGUGCCUGGAUGCCCUCCUGCACUCUGCGUAUUUGGACAUCGUUUUUAGCUGUACGAGCCAAGCAUGUUGCCUGGACUCGAAGCGGCCGUGUCGUUAGGCAUAGCAAACAAACACCUAAUACACCCUUGCAAUCACCAAGCUACCACCCAAAAAAACCUUUGCAAAUGCCAUAGCAACUGCCUAACAACCAUCCAGAACAUCUUAGCCACUGCAUAGCAAUACAAUCCGUAAAUGCACAGUAAAAUAAGAAAUAAAUGUCAAGUAAUAUGGUUUUAUCAAAAGUGCAGAUAAAAGUGCACACCACUAUUAGGCAAGGAGGUUCCCGCCGUAGGUUUGUGGCUGAUUUACAAGACGAGUUGACCUGUUAUUCAUUUUAGCAUCAUGAUAGUCUUGCAGAGCCAGACUUUUGACUAUUCUGGCCAAGAACUGCCCACUCAGACAGGACCAUGUUAAAUGACUGAUUUUUAUUUACGUGAAGUUUAGAUUUAGAUUUAGAACCAACAAGAGCAAAAUAACAGACUGGCAUACAAAAAAGCAGUUGCUUAUUCAUAUAAUGGCCGCAGUUUUUUGUUUAAGGUUGUAACAACAAAACCAAAGAAAUCAGUAGAAUUUAGAAUUUAGAAAAUUUCUUACAUUUAGAAUUAGGGAUGUCACAAUACCACUACCGAGACUGAAAUACUUGUUCUUGGGCUCGUAAAAAUGUUCCAAUAGCAAAAUCCAGAACCAUUUGAUGUACGUUUGUCAUUGCGUAAGCAUUAUUAUAAUCCUUAAACCACAAAGGCUACCAUUUAAUGAGAUAAAUAUAGUGUGCAUGUGCUGCACGCUUCAAAUGUGAGUGCUUGUGAAUUUAUGGAGCACCGGCUGUGUGGACGUCAGCUGCUCAUACCUUUUACACCUCCUUGGCUUACACUGAAAACACCAUCAUAAGAAUCGCACACUCUGUUUGUAGCAGAUGACAGUGAGCAUAGUGCUAUUUCACUUUGUAGCACAAGGUACAUACGAAGUACAUAUUUAUUUAAUUAAAUAGGAGCCUUUUGUGGUAUAAUAAUCACACUGAGGCUGUGUCUCGUUUGGAAGGAUGCGUCCUCCGGAGGUCGCAUUUCUCGGCCGCAUUCGUCAACGAGGCUGUCUCGUUUCAGAAAAGCAAGUAGGACACUUCGAAUGAAGCCUUCGAAUGUGACCUUCUUUCACGGGAAUUCGGAGGAUGCAUGAGGUGUGUCCUUCGUGGGCACUCAUAACCCACAGUUCUUUGCUUCAACGGAAAUGUCUAAAAAAAAAGACGCCAAUUUGCCCGUAAAUAUGAAGUUCAAAUGCAAGGAAUGUUAAUUCCCAAGUUGAAGUACCUCAGUAGAUGGGUGCAGAGUAUAUAAUAUGUAUUAUUAUAUUAAUAUAUAAUUAAAAUAAAUUAUUAGACUAAAAGUACACCUGUAAAAUCUAUUUUCUUUUCUCUUUACAACAUUAUAACUCUCCUAAAAUGUACCUCAAACAUUCCCUUCUAAAGGUACUUUGUUACCGUGUCACUCGAAGUGCUCGCACUUGUUAAAGAGUGGUGUGCUGUCAUAGUAACCAUGUUACGUUACGUUUCCGUUUGUCCUACGAAGGCCGUCUCAUUUAAACGAGAUUUGUUUAAAGGAGGACACUCGGUAUACUGCAGCCUUCAAAGGACACGUCCUACCUAUCAUGCAGCCUUCCAAACGAGACACGGCCUGAGUGACGUAGUGACCUGCUUUUCUGGAAGUGAGAAGCUACCAUCAUAACAAAACAAACACUUCAAAAUAAAAGCUCAGCCAAAAUAAAAGCUUAAUUUAAAUAGGGAAAAAGUACGACAGAAAUAUAUCACUACUGUAUAGUUAUGCAAUAUUCUCUGUAAUACUGCUACUACUACUAAUAAUAAGAAAUGUACAAUUAUUUAAUGUUAUUUAAGUAAUAUCUCACUUCUGUGAUUUUCUGUUAUGCAGCACUUUAUUUGUUUUUUGGAGGUUGUGUAAAAGCACUUCAUUUUAUAAAAAUAAUUCAAUAUUAUGUUGAAAAUAAAUUGUUAAAUUCAAGUUUUAAUGAAUUAAUUUAUUUAGACACAAUUUUCAUUAUAUAAACUUUUGAUAGAUUUAAAUAAAUUGAAAUAAACUGUUGAUAUGGUUCAGAAAACAAACAAAAAACAGGUAUUGGUAUCAACAAGUAUCGAAAAGGAAGUAUCGGUACUUGUACUCGUUCUAAAAAAAAUGGUAUUGGGAGAUCCCUAUUUAGAAUGUAGAAACUUAGUAUAAAAAUUAGUAGAAACAAACAUUAGUGUGUGUUGACUUUUUUACAGGGUCAUCUCUGUGACAUUGCCAGUACUUACUACUUUUGGAUGGACAUAAAUUCUAACCACAAAGCGGAAUAUACAGUUGCGUUUAAGGGUAACUUGUUUACUUGCUAAUAUGUGCCUUAAUAAGUUUUACUAAUGUGAUAAAUUCUGUGAGUAGCAACAAAUGUUCAUUGUGGCAGCCUGGUCACUUGUAAACUAAACUUUUUUCCCUACGGACUAUAAACUGUGCGUUCUCGAAAGUGACAGAAAGCCCACCAGUCAGAUUGGAACUUGAGAUUCUGCCAGAUUCUUGGCAUUUUUGUGCAGUUUGAAUGGUUUGCAAGUGCAAAUGUUCUGUGGGCGGUCCUGAGACUAGCAUUGUGACAUCAUAUCCUCAGACGUCCCUCGACCAGCGUCCACUUCUGAGGAGGACAGGGAAGGUCCUGACGUGAAAGAUCCAGAUUGCCAAAGACGUCAUGGAGUGAUGCAUUCACCUGCUGACUCCAACCUGUGAUUGAAGAUUGAACAGUGCAUCCGGAAAGUAUUUACAGCGCUUCACUUUUUCCACAUUUUGUUAUGUUACAGCCUUAUUCCA